AAGAGCCAACAGAGGAGACAUGGCCGGAGAGCCAAGAUCACCAGUGGACAAACCCGCCUUUUCAUACGGGCAGGUACUCCACUGAUCCAUAUGGAGCUUCAGGAUCCAGACCUCCGCCCCAAUUUGAUGCAGGACGAUACUCCGACGCCUCCUACGCUUUCACGAAUGACUACUACCAAGAGGCCGGUGCUUUCUUCACUCGUACCGACAACACCCUCCUCGACAUCCAGAACACGCAAGCAGAACAUGGAAGACUCCUGGAAGAGCAACAAAAAUGGAACCAGGACCAUGCCGCUGCAGUAGAAGAGCUGAGACAAGAUACAACAACAAUGAACGACAACAUCACAACCAUGAUGCGGUUCUGGAACAUCGGGUAAGACCGACGUCAACAUCCAGCUUGGGGG
rnacentral:lncRNA from 1 species